AGAUUUUAACCAUUAUUAUAGUCUAACUAUUAUUAUAGUCAUAGGUGUUUUAACAUUUUUUUGCCAUAACUUUCUUGUGUUCUGGUCUUUUUGCGGUUUAGAAUUUUUUUUUCUGCUUUUAAGAAAAUCGUCUCAGAUUAUUCCGAUUAUUUGUCGAUUUAUUAGGAAAAAAUCAAGGAUCGAAAGUCUCUAUUUAGAGACUAAAUAGUGGAUGCCACCCUAAAAAAUCGAAAUUCCCUAUUUUUCUAGUUUUU
rnacentral:lncRNA from 1 species